rnacentral:lncRNA from 1 species
GCAUUGGCCCACAUCUAUCCCCAAGCCUUUGAAAUAUCCCUCCCAGCAUCAGAACACAGUGUGGUGGGACAAGACCUUGGAAUGGAGGAGCUGGUCCUAAAAUGGGUCUGUGUUUGGAUGUCAGAGCAGAGUAACCUCUGUGGGCUUGACUGCCUUUUGGUGGUGCUGGAGUUUAAACCCAGAGCCUCCAAGACCCACUCUCCCAUUCACCCGCCAAGCUGCCACCUCAUCUGUCGAGGGGGCUGCUUCCGACUAGCUGUUCAGUGCAGUUUACAGUCAUUUACAGAACCCUUGCGUGUGACUUUCAGUCAGUUCCCUCCUCCAGCACCCCAGAAAAUCGGGCAUAGUAGAAAACGUAAUCCCAGCAGUUGAUAGGCAAGAGGAUCAGAAUUUUGGAUUAUCUUCAGCUACACAAGGAGUUAGAGGCCAUCCUGGGCUUCAUGAAACCCUGUCCCAAGACUAUAGAAGAAAAGCAAAACCAAACCCAAACCUGUUCUCUCUGUUCCGUUCACUUCAGUCCCUCAGUCCUCAGAGUCUCCCCAACUCUGAACCCCUUCCAGGCACUGUCCAUUUCCUGAACAUGUUUCCUGUCU